rnacentral:lncRNA from 1 species
CCCCCUCCUCCUUCUCCUGCUGGGAGUUAGCUGGAGAACCAACAGGCAGCAUUACAGAAAGCUAUAGGCCCCUUCAGCUGGUUGAGGGGGCUCAGCUGGCCCCAUGGCUAGGGCAUUUGUGUCCUGUUUCCUGCCGUGCAGGAGGGGCACUGUGAGGUCCUCCCGCGUCUCACCCCAACCACAUACACACCUGUAAACAAUGGAGCAGUCCAGUCUCCAGCCCUACCUAGAGGAGCGAUUUGUUCUCUGAUUUCCAUAACACAGAAAAAAUAAAAAAAGAAAAAAAAAUCCAAAACGAAAAGUAAAACCACUUUAAACAAUUAGGAGUUUUGUUCGGUUAUUUGGCGAAGGCUGUGUGCUGGGGGAGUGGGUAGUGAGGGAGUUCUUUAUCCCUGGAGAAUCUAAAUGAAGGAAAAGUCAGUUUGAAACCGGCUCCCAAGAUGACGCAGGGGUCUGAACCCAGAAUAAACUCUGAAAGCUAUAUUUUCAGCACAGAAAAGAGGGGCUUCCUAAUGGAAGCUUUGGCAGCCCUUGUGCUGUAGCCCCGGCCCUGGGCAGUGCUGCGCUGCUGUUUAUUUGAGAGGAAGUGGUGGAGAGUGGUCCCUCUUGUGGCGUGUGGUUUUGGCAGUGCCUGGGCUCUCCGUCUUCUGUUUGGGAGUCUGGCCCACCAUGGAGCCCUUGCUCUUGGUUCCAUUGUUAAAGGAUUCCUGCUGCAGUGCAUCCGGGGUGCCCACCAUGAGAUUCCUUUGUCGUGGAAGAAGGUGCCACCCUUUCCACCUGCCUCUUUUCUGGGGGGAUUUUCUGCCUGCUUGCAUGGGAGGCAUGUGGCUGUAGGUGGGGAGGGCAAGGGGCUGACUAGAAGUGGAGGUGAAGGGUGAAGCCACAGGAGGUGCCGUGGCACUUGUCUUCUUGGCCCUCCUGCCUCUGAACCCCAGUGACGGUCUCUUGCGGGCUGGUGGCUCCACCUUUUGGUCUGUGCUGGGACCUGGCAGGAAAACCAUGCUUGGCUGUGUGAGAAUGGCAGAGUAUGGUGGGCCUGGGGCAGAGUGGUGGUGGUGGCAGAGGAACGAAAAGGAUGGUGUUGGGGUAGCCAUGGGAACGCCAGCUUUGUAACAAGACAGAUACGGGUUUGAAUCUUGGCCCCAGCACUGAUUGCUGAUGACUUUGGGUAAAUAGCUUGACCUUUCUGAGGGCCAGUUUCUUGAUCUUUAAUACGGCCAUAAUCAUACCUACCCCAGAUAAAGGCUCAGGACCUCUUGUGUCACACAAAAUAUCGUGUGAUUUUGAAAGCAAUGCCUCGGACUCAGACCUAUAGGCCAUAGUUUAGGGGAACCCAAAUCCUUCUCCAGCAAUAGGGCUUAUGCUCAUGUGGAGUCCUCUGUCCCAGCUACCAAUUGGUGCUGUAGCCUGUUUUGCCUCCAUCAGCCCACACUCAAAACUCAGCUCCUGCCCCGAUUUCCACAAAACCCACUCAUAGCAAGCACUUUGCAAGCUUAAUAUACCUUACAGACAAUCUGGGGAUACUGAACAAGCAGCUUAUUAUCUCAUUCACUGUUCUUUUUCCUCAUCUUUCUUUACUCCUGUCCUCCUAGAUUUCUCAGACUGCCAAAUUCUUUCCCCUCUAUGCACAGGGCAAUUCAGCUCUCCCCAUGUCCUACUCCCAAUAUUGCACACCAACACUUCUAGAAUUGCUUAACAGAUUUCACCAGAUCUAAAUGUCUCUAAAAACAGUGGAAUAGAAAAUAACAAAUCUACUACUGAUAGUGCCUACUUCAUAGCAUUUUUAUGAGUAAUACUAUCACCACAGUGACUAGCACAUGGUAAUACUAUCACCACAGUGACUAGCGCAUAGUGAUCAAUAGCUAUAACCAUUUGAAGAAACCAGGGGUGAGUGUAUCUGAGAAUCCAAGAAAAGAUAUUGGCACGUUGGUGGAUCAAAAAGCAGAUAUUGGGGUCAGCAUAUUUUGCCUUAAUCUCACCAGCAUUUCUACAUCUUGUUGACACUUUGUGAAGUGGGCAGGACAGCCUCCACCACACCCUUUAUACAGGAAGACAAAGCGACUUGCCCAGAUUCACCAACUGGGAAGUGGCGAGUGUUUAUUAUGGAUCAACAUGUGUAAACUGUAGGGGGAGGGGGUAGAAUGGGACAGAGGGAGAAGUUGAUCAGCAAACCCUAUUGGGAGCUGUGGAGCAUACGCAGCCCUCAGAGGUGUCCUGUCAUGGGUCUUUGUACCCCUGCCACUGUUAGCUGUUGCAUUUGGGCUACCCGGAAAGGAAAGAGAUGCCCUUGGGCAAAGCAGCUGUCUAUGGCAAGCACACUCUGAAGGAGCUGACAGCUGGAGGCAAGUCCUUCCCUCCAGAAAGGGCAUUUGGGCAGUGCAUCUCCUGUCCUACCACUUUCUUCAUCUGCAAAAUGGGGAUCAUGAUAGUACCAGCUUGCAGGGUUAAAGUAAGGUAGUGGGUGCAGGUGUCUUCCAUAAACAACAGUUGUCUUUAAGGGCACUGUGGGUACUCUGUCUACCAGGCAGCUCUGGCUGUGGGAGCCCCUCCCAAUAGAGCUGCCACCAGCCCUUUCUGAUAGGACUAACUCCCCAGGAAUGUCAGGGUGGUGACUCCGGAGCACUUACAAUUGGACACUGUGAAGAUGAUCAUUGUGUUGCAUCACCACUGCCCUUCAUUCAGUUGUUUCAGAUUAAAUUCAUCAUAACAAGAGGUCUCUGAUCAAAAACAUUGAACUUAAAUACGGGGGGAACUCUGGAAAAAAAGGAAUGCUGAAAGAAGCUGAGUUUCCUUUCAUUCUGAGGACUCUGAAUACAUUUGAGACUUGCAUCUUACUCUUCUAAAGCCAUGCAGCCCAAGCUUUCUAUUCCAUGUUAGUCAGGAUGUAGGAGUCAUUUCAGACCAAGUCAGGUUGGGGUAGAUGAUUAGAAUGAUGCUUGUAGAGAUUAUCACAAUAAUGGCCCCCAAUGAAUCAUACUUUCUGAUACCAUGCCCUUGUGUAGUGUUCUUCCACACUGACUCUGGGCCUAGCCAUGUGUCCUGUUUUGGUCCAUGUGACAUCAGCUAACAUAACCCAAGCAGAGACUUGGUAAGUGCUUGCUCACAGGGAUUUGCUUGAAGCUCCAACUGGCCUUCUUGAGGAUGAGAGACCAGGUGAAAGAGAGGACCUGCCCUCCCAGCCAAUUCUCCUGCUGAAUGGAGCCUAGGUGAAGCCAGCAGAGCCUCCCAGCUGUCCUACAGAGUCACGAGAAAUAAUAAAUUGCUGUUAUGAUGAUUUUUAAAAUUGAGGUGAAAUACACCAUAACAGAAAAUUCACUAUUUUAAGGUAUGCAAUUCAUGGCAUUUAGUAUCUUUAUAAUGUUGUGCAACCACCACCUCUUUCUAGUUCUAAAACGUUUUCAUCACUCCAAAAGCAAACCCUGUAUCCAGUAAGCAGUCACUUCUCAUUCCCUGCCCCCUCUAACUCCUGGCAACCACCCAUCUGCUUCCUGUCUCUAUGGAGACACUUUUGUGACUGGCUUCCUUCACUUAGCAUAAUGUCUUCAGUGUUCAUCCAUGUUGUAGCAUAUAUCGCUACUUCAUUUCUUUUUGCACUCAAAUACAUGUAUGCAAUGUUCAUAGAAGCACUAUUCACUAUAGCCAAAAGGUGAAAACAAUCUAAAUGUCCAUUAACUGAUGAACAGAUAAGCAAAAUGUGUUGUACCCAUACAAUUAAAUAUUAUUGAGUGAUAAAUUGCUGUUAUUUUAAGCCAUCAGGUUUUGGGCUGGUUUGUUAACUGUAGUAAUAGAUAACAGAGAAUUUUUAAGGUGGUUGGAGUAAUAACAAGAGCUAUCACAUCUUACACUGCAUGCAAUGUACUAUGUGAAGCACUUUGUGUGAAUUCUGCUUUAAUCCUCACAAGAACCCUGUGGUUUAGGUACUAAUAUUGACCCCAGUUCACAAAUGGGAAAACUGAGAAAUUAAAUAUUUGCCCAAGUUAACCCAGACAGUUCAAUUCCAGAGCUCAUGCCUUAUUCACUCGCUGUACUACAAUCCAGCCAUAAAUGAAAGGCCUACUCUGGAAGAUCUAACUAAGGACAUGAGUGUGUAGCUUUGCUGUGAAAGAGACACCAUUCUCAGCUUUUUUAUAUAGUGAAUAUCACUGGUAGAAAUGAUCAACAGAAUUUAAAGCCUUUAGUAGUUAAAAUCUAAUCUGUGCAGUCUGACUUGGGAAUAUUGAACUUUGUAGAACAAUGUCUAUAUAGUAAGUUUUCAAGGGCAAAAGUUACAACCAUAAUAUUUGAUAUAAAUAAACCAAUUGAGUAAUGCAUCAAAGCUUUAUAUAAAACUGACACAGG